rnacentral:misc_RNA from 1 species
GGAAACAUGACAAGAAAGAUGGAAGCAGUAAAUCAAGAGAAAGUGGUGUGGAUGAAAAUGAUCUGAAUACAACUAAGAAGGGCGUGGCUAGCAGUGUCAGGCCUAAAGUCUCUACGCUGUCUAGUACCUCGAGGACAUUCCCUAAGGCAGUUCUUGUUCCUUCAUCUAAAAGUUCAAAUACACAAGCCAGCAUUGACAAUGAUGAUUUUGAUGACUUUGAUCCCCGUGGAUCUUCAGCAGCUGGAUCAACCAAUACAAACAAUAAUCAGAUGGAUCUCUUUGGAGAAAGCUUGGU